UAAGCUCAUCUUCAUAUUUUCAGAUUUUCCUCGGAGAGAAGAGAGCUGCCACCCAUAUUUCCUGGCAUUCAAACAUCAAGUCAUUCUGCAUCCCUCGAACAGUGUCAUCCCUUCAAUCUGCUGUCUCACAAAGCUGCUCUUUCACUGGAAAGAAAGGAAUGAAUCAUUUCAUUACGAUGAGUGCAUGAUCCACCGACACUGCUUCCUAUUACCAGGCCCCAAGGAAAUAAGAGAGUUGUGUAGAAACCAUGCCUGCCAAGGGAGUUCACACAGCAGAACAGAAAUGCAUAUGUCCAUGUGUUACAGAAGUGGAGCACCCUCCCUGCUCU